AUGACUCCAAAGUCAUAAUAAAGUCACCGAAAGUGAAUCAUGAUUUGAAGAAGAUAAAGGAGUCAGGAGUGGAACUGCUUUCCUUGGUAUGUCAUUCCGAAGCGCCAAUACGGAGGAGCCACAUCAUAAGAGGCAAUGGUUUUGCCGCCUUUGAGAGUAACCUCGAAAGAGAGAGACUGUCCGAUGAGAUCGAGAGAGGAGUGCCAGUUCUGUCCCCAGUUUCUGGCCAUUGGGAUCCAAGCCGUUGUGUGGCCCUUCACUUUCACACCAACCACUUCCCCGUCGAGGCCCACAUUGCUUAUCAACACCUGGAAAAAGUGGGAGCUCCCGCUCAAGCUGAAUCUCAACCCGCCUCUCCGCCCACACUUGACCCUCCUAUACUGUAUAGGUAUCAUCUCAGCUCUGGUUUCUGCGAUCCCUGUGAAGGCGGCAUGAGAUAGUUCCAAGUGUUCCUUUGGGAAGUUGCACCAACCUCCGUAAUCGGAGGAGAGUCCCGAAUUGGGAGGACAGAAAUCGGUGGCGGUGACCACCACGGAGGGGCUGCCUUGAAGACACCAACGGAUGUGGUUCACGCACCGCACUUCUAGACAAGCUCCGCAGCUGCUUCCCCUGUUGAACAGCUUCCCGCUCAGGCCUGCGCUGUAGCCGGCAAAGCUGCUCUGCCUCAGAUCUCCAUACCCACAAGCGCCUCCUAUCAGAACCAAUUAGUCUAGUUAGUCCUGAUGAAAGAAGAAAGAAAAAUAGGGGGGAGAGAGAGAAAAGAGAACCAGUAGCGACGGAGGAGGAGCCGUCUCUGUCUCUAGAAAGCGUGGCUGUGGCUAUCUUCCAGUCAUCUUCGGCAGUGGCUUGAAAGAGGCGGCAGAGAAUGAAGAAGAGGCACAAUGCGAGUUGCUGAAGCCCAGAAUCCAUGAACAAGAAGUGUUGUUGGGAUCCUCACAGUCAGUCACAGGUGGCAGACAAAAGUGAUGCGUUUGAGAGAGUUUUGGGGGUUCCUUUUGAUCAUCAGGCUCCGCUUUUCAAGACUUGUGGGGAUGCGACAAAAGAUUGCUCUGACAUGUUUUGACUUUGACAGUCCGUUUCAGACCAAUUAUAAUAAAAAAACAAAAAAGGGAACAACUAUACGUUUUCCAGGCCCAUCUCAUUCGGAGGCCCACUUUCAAUACGACACAGAAUCAAGACAAGAGACGCAAGACGAACUUCUUGAGCCCUUUUGUUAAUUCAAUGGGCCCUCACUAAGAAGCCCAUAAUAAAAUAAAAUAAGUUCUAUUUUCAAACAUUGUACUAUUACUUUUUGUACCGGCCGUGUUUAUUCAAUUCUCGUAUUUGUAAGAAUUUAUAAA